rnacentral:rRNA from 1 species
CUACGGGGGGCUCCAGUGGGGAAUAUUGGACAAUGGGCGCAAGCCUGAUCCAGCAAUACCGCGUGUGUGAAGAAGGCCUGCGGGUUGUAAAGCACUUUCAAUUGUGAAGAAAAGCGAGAGGUUAAUAGCCUUUUGUCUUGACGUUAACUUUAGAAGAAGCACCGGCUAACUCUGUGCCAGCAGCCGCGGUAAUACAGAGGGUGCGAGCGUUAAUCGGAAUUACUGGGCGUAAAGCGUGCGUAGGCGGUUUAGUAAGUCAGAUGUGAAAGCCCUGGGCUCAACCUGGGAACUGCAUUUGAACUGCUGAACUAGAGUGUGGGAGAGGGAAGUGGAAUUCCGGGUGUAGCGGUGAAAUGCGUAGAUAUCCGGAGGAACACCAGUGGCGAAGGCGACUUCCUGGACCAACACUGACGCUGAGGUACGAAAGCGUGGGUAGCAAACAGGAUUAGAUACCCUGGUAGUC